AGUGAACGCUGGCGGUAGGCCUAACACAUGCCAGUCGAACGGCAGCACAGUAAGAGCUUGCUCUUACGGGUGGCGAGUGGCGGACGGGUGAGGAAUACAUCGGAAUCUACUUUUUCGUGGGGGAUAACGUAGGGAAACUUACGCUAAUACCGCAUACGACCUACGGGUGAAAGCAGGGGAUCUUCGGACCUUGCGCGAUUGAAUGAGCCGAUGUCGGGUUAGCUAGUUGGCGGGGUAAAGGCCCACCAAGGCGACGAUCCGUAGCUGGUCUGAGAGGAUGGUCAGCCACACUGGAACUGAGACACGGUCCAGACUCCUACGGGAGGCAGCAGGGGGGAAUAUUGGACAAUGGGCGCAAGCCUGAUCCAGCCAUACCGCGUGGGUGAAGAAGGCCUUCGGGUUGUAAAGCCCUUUUGUUGGGAAAGAAAAGCAGCAGGUUAAUACCCCGCUGUUCUGACGGUACCCAAAGAAUAAGCACCGGCUAACUUCGU
rnacentral:rRNA from 1 species